rnacentral:lncRNA from 1 species
UUUCGGGCUAGCUGGCAAUCCAUUGAGAUCGUGUAAAUUCAAACGUUGACAGCCGUUGAGGCGGAGAUUACGGGAUUUAAUCCCGGAUAUGGAGAACUUGAUUUUCGGUGGAGUGGGGGUCAGUUUCUUCCUUUGAUUGGUCUUUCUUGGCCUUGAGGUCAAUCGGGCUGAACUCAUCCGAGACCGCGCUUGCCGAGUUCAUGCCGAGGUCAAGUGCGAUGAGGUCGGGCACUCUGAGGUUGUGACUGCUGAGAGCAUGCUCGCUGUCGUCAUAUUCAUCAUCAAGUGUCGGCGAUUUGACCAUGUGCUUUGAGUGAUCCAAUUUUUCCCCAACAAAAACAAUUAUUUUGCUGCAGAGACCACAAUGCUUACGUGCCUUAUGUGCGGCAAACUUUGGUUGUACACUUGUAGGUGAUCCACAUUUGCAGUUAUCUUCAUUAUGACUAAUAAACUGAGGUAUUGAGAUCUGGCUGAUUUGCCAAACAAUGAAUUCUUUUCACUUCUACCUGAUUGUAAGAUGAGCACCUUGAAGAGAAGAGAGAUUUAAUAAUCAAGAAGGUUGAAAGGCAUUCAUAUAUAUUGCAGGAGCCGCUUAGUAAAAGUGUUUUUUCCAUGCUUGGAACUAUGAUAGCCCUUGUUUUUAAAAGCAUUUAUGUUGAAGCAUAAACAUGAUAAUAGCGC